GAUCAUAUACAACCAUAUGUUACUUUGAUGUACAUUUUACUGAUAAGUAAUUUAAUAGUUUCUUUGUGUUGAAAAGUGUGCCGUCCUCGGAAAGUGUAGUUGAUACACUUAACACCCAGAUAUAAUUAGUUUUCAAAGCCAUGUAAAGCUACAUUCUCACACAAACUAAGACCAUGCCAUUUUGUUAAGCGUCCGCAUUUUGAGCUACUUGAGCAAAAUCAAACCGAGUCGGAUAGCUCGCCGUAUAACUCAAAUGAUUUAAUUGAUGUCACAAGUCGGUAGAUACAGAUACAACAACGAGGAAGAUACUUCUACUUACAACACGGACGAAAAAAUAACUGGUCAGGCAGAACGAACAACUACCAAAACUAUUAUACUACAUCUGAAGAUGACGUCACGCCUGAAACACACAAUUCUCUUUAGAAGCAAGCGAGCACCACAGUUGGAGGAACAGAAUGAAAUAGAAGGCAAUGAUAAUGGUACUGCUUGUACUAUUCAUGCAAGUAUCAGCCGUUCACAGUAGCGUUAUACGUGGGCCUACGACAUUUACGUUACAAAAACGACCAUCCAACACUGGCAGUGCCAACACAAACAUAGCCACGGUCCAACGGCAGCUAACCCAGAUGGAGUCAGUAGAGAGAUACUACCAGCAGCUCUUUCUUAGAGGAUAUUUGUCGGAGGAGGCUUUUAACAAUUUGCGUAGUAUACAAGAUUACAUUGAAUACUUACGGAAUUAUUUGGACACGACUCAAACAAACGGACCAAGCAACUAGAUUGACGAAAGAGGAAAAAAUAAUUUUGAAUAAAUUCAGCAUAAUAAGCCCGUAUUGGUGUUUAAAUUCCAAUGGCAAACGAGAACCAGUCUGUAUCCACGACUCGCUCAUAAUGGUUGUUUGUCGAAUAUACUUGACCAUUUUGUUAUAAACAAAAGGUUAUCAAUUUAUUUGCUCGGCUGUUUACCUAAUACUAAUGUCGAGACAUUGUAAUAACCUUGGUGUCGUCGUACACAAAUUUUAAUGUUUGAUACAAUUUAAAACCACACAAUUACAGUACAUGUACGUUAUACUUGAUGGAUGCAUUUUUUAACAUUUUAAUGCAUUAUUUGUUUAACUCAUUUAUUUAAUUGCUCAAGACAAAAAACAACAUAUGAGUUGUGUCCCUUUAGU